rnacentral:rRNA from 1 species
CGAACGCUGGCGGCGUGCUUAACACAUGCAAGUCGAGCGGAAAGGCCCUUCGGGGUACUCGAGCGGCGAACGGGUGAGUAACACGUGAGUAAUCUGCCCCUCACUCAGGGAUAACCACGGGAAGCUGUGGCUAAUACCUGAUAUGACCACGUCUCGCAUGGGGUGUGGUGGAAAGCUUUUGCGGUGGGGGAUGUGCUCGCGGCCUAUCAGCUUGUUGGUGAGGUAGUGGCUCACCAAGGCUUCGACGGGUAGCCGGCCUGAGAGGGUGACCGGCCACACUGGGACUGAGACACGGCCCAGACUCCUACGGGAGGCAGCAGUGGGGAAUAUUGGACAAUGGGCGAAAGCCUGAUCCAGCAACGCCGCGUGAGGGAUGACGGCCUUCGGGUUGUAAACCUCUUUCACCUCUGACGAAGCGCAAGUGACGGUAAGGGGAGAAGAAGGACCGGCCAACUAC